UACGGAGGGUGCAAGCGUUAUCCGGAUUCACUGGGUUUAAAGGGAGCGCAGGCGGAUUGGUAAGUCAGUGGUGAAAGGCUUAAGCUUAGCUUGGGAACUGCCAUUGAUACUAUCAGUCUUGAAUGUUGUUGAGGUUUGCGGAAUGGGUCAUGUAGCGGUGAAAUGCAUAGAUAUGACCCGGAACACCUAUUGCGAAGGCAGCAGGCUAAACAAAUAUUGACGCUGAGGCUCGAAAGCGUGGGGAUCAAACAGG
rnacentral:rRNA from 1 species